rnacentral:rRNA from 1 species
UACGAAGGGGGCUAGCGUUGCUCGGAAUCACUGGGCGUAAAGGGUGCGUAGGCGGGUCUUAAGUCAGGGGUGAAGUCCUGGAGCUCAACUCCAGAACUGCCUUUGAUACUGAGGAUCUUGAGUUCGGGAGAGGUGAGUGGAACUGCGAGUGUAGAGGUGAAAAUUCGUAGAUAUUCGCAAGAACACCAGUGGCGAAGGCGGCUCACUGGCCCGAUACUGACGCUGAGGCACGAAAAGCGUGGGGGAGCAAACAGG